rnacentral:rRNA from 1 species
CUACGGGUUGCUGCAGUGAGGAAUUUUGCGCAAUGGGGGAAACCCUGACGCAGCAACGCCGCGUGAGCGAAGAAGGCCCUCGGGUCGUAAAGCUCUGUCAAGUGGGAAAAAAAUUUUUUGAUCAAUAGUCAAAAGACUUGAUGGUACCACUGGAGGAAGCACCGGCUAACUCCGUGCCAGCAGCCGCGGUAAUACGGAGGGUGCAAGCGUUGUUCGGAUUUACUGGGCGUAAAGAGCGUGUAGGCGGUUUAGCAAGUCAGAUGUGAAAGCCCUGGGCUCAACCCGGGAAGUGCAUUUGAAACUGCUUCACUAGAGUAUGGGAGAGGAGAUUGGAAUUCCUGGUGUAGAGGUGAAAUUCGUAGAUAUCAGGAGGAACACCCGUGGCGAAGGCGAUUCUCUGGACCAAUACUGACGCUAAGGCGUGAAAGCGUGGGGAGCAAACAGGAUUAGAUACCCGCGUAGUC